rnacentral:rRNA from 1 species
AGUGAACGCUGGCGGUAGGCCUAACACAUGCGAGUCGAACGGCAGCACAGUAAGAGCUUGCUCUUACGGGUGGCGAGUGGCGGACGGGUGAGGAAUACAUCGGAAUCUACUUUUUCGUGGGGGAUAACGUAGGGAAACUUACGCUAAUACCGCAUACGACCUACGGGUGAAAGCAGGGGAUCUUCGGACCUUGCGCGAUUGAAUGAGCCGAUGUCGGAUUAGCUAGUUGGCGGGGUAAAGGCCCACCAAGGCGACGAUCCGUAGCUGGUCUGAGAGGAUGAUCAGCCACCCUGGAACUGAGACCCGGCCCAGCCUCCCACGGGAGGCAGCAGGGGGGAAUAUUGGAAAAUGGGCGCAAGCCUGAUCCAGCCAUACCGGGUGGGUGAAGAAGGCCUUCGGGUUGUAAAGCCCUUUUGUUGGGAAAAAAAAGCAGCAGGUUAAUCCCCCGCUGUUCUGCCGGUACCCAAAGAAUAAGCACCGGCUAACUUCGU